rnacentral:rRNA from 1 species
GACGAACGCUGGCGGCGUGCCUAAUACAUGCAGGUAGAACGCUGAAGCUUGGUGCUUGCACCGAGCGGAUGAGUUGCGAACGGGUGAGUAACGCGUAGGUAACCUGCCUGGUAGCGGGGGAUAACUAUUGGAAACGAUAGCUAAUACCGCAUAAGAGUAGAUGUUGCAUGACAUUUGCUUAAAAGGUGCAAUUGCAUCACUACCAGAUGGACCCGCGUUGUAUUAGCUAGUUGGUGAGGUAACGGCUCACCAAGGCAACGAUACAUAGCCGACCUGCGAGGGUGGUCGGCCACACUGGGACUGAGACACGGCCCAGACUCCUACGGGAGGCAGCAGUAGGGCAUCGUCGGCAAUGGACGGAAGUCUGACCGAGCAACGCCGCGUGAGUGAAGAAGGUUUUCGGAUCGUAAAGCUCGGUUGUAAGAGAAGAACGAGUGUGAGAGUGGAAAGUUCACACUGUGACGGUAUCUUACCAGAAAGGGACGGCUAACUACGUG